rnacentral:rRNA from 2 species
AAGGUCACGGCGAGACGAGCCGUUUAUCAUUACGAUAGGUGUCAAGUGGAAGUGCAGUGAUGUAUGCAGCUGAGGCAUCCUAACAGACCGAGAGAUUUGAACCUUGUUCCUACACGACCUGAUCAAUUCAAUCAGGCACUCGCCAUCUAUUUUCAUUGUUCAACUGUUUGACAACAUGAAAAAACCAAAAGCUCUGCCCUUCCCUCCCUUGGAUAGAUAGGGAAGGG